UUUUAAUGUUGUUCAGCAAAACCUACAUGGAUUAAGACUUGUACUAAAUAUUGACAAAAGCAAAAUGAUCUGCUUUACAAGAAGUAAUAAAACAUCCGAUAUGGAUGACAACCAGAUUGUUACUCUAAACAACAAAGUGAUAGAGCGAGUCGCAACCUACAAAUACCUGGGCUUUUUUCUAGAAGAAAAUCUCUCUUUCAAACAUCACAUUGAGUGUCUUACUAAAAAGCUAAGAAUUAAACUGGGUUUCUUGUAUAAAAAUAAAUGUUGUUUUUCUUUUGGUGCCAGGAAGAAAAUUGUCCAAGCCGUUCUUUUAUCCGUUAUUGACUAUGGUGAUAUUUUAUGUAUGCAUGCAAAUUCAUCAUCUCUGAAAAUGCUAGAUUCUGUGUACCAUGCAGCAUUACGGUUUGUCUCAAACUCUGGCUUCCGAACACACCAUUGUAAAUUGUAUGAGAAAGUUGGUCUGUCUUCCUUAUACACCCGUAGGAUGGAACACUGGUAUAUGUUUCUUUAUAAGGCAAUUUUGCACGAUCUGCCUCCGUAUUUGUGUUCUCUAAUGGUUCCUAAAACAAACAGUGCUCGUAUCACUCGGUCUAGCAGUUGGAUUAUGUAUAACGUUCCUCGGACUCGCACUACGUUUGGUGAAAGUGCUUUUAAAUCUUUUGCCCCGUCAUCAUGGUGUAAGCUACAGGAACACCUUAAACUGGAAUCCCUAAUCACCCUGAACAAUUACAAAAGCAGGAUCAAGGACAAUUUAACCACAAACUGAACACUGACUUACUGCCAAUUAGAUUGAUGCUUUGUGACUUUUUAUUGUGUUUUGUGUCUUGUUUUUAGUGUGAAAUUUUGUGUUUUUAAUGUGAAACUUGAAAUGUUUGUAUGCUGCCUUAUUGGCCAGGACUCUCUUGAAAAAGAGAUUUUGAAUCUCAAUGAGAAUAUUCCUGGAAAAAUAAAGGUUAAUAAAAUAAAAAAAUUUUACCUUUUAUCAACCUUGAUAACAUAUAGCAAUCAUUAACUG
rnacentral:lncRNA from 1 species